CGGGAAGAUGUGGAGAGGUCUAGAGAACAUAACACCAACAUGAAGGAAGGAAAAAGGCCACUAGCAGUACGAUAUCCACCAGAGGAAAAGAAGACCGGGCUCUCCGUAGCGCAAUGAAAAAACGGAGCCAAGGCGAAAAUACAACAGCAUAUGUAAACCGUGUCUCGACCGGCGAUCAAACAAAAUGAGCCUCAGUGUUAAUUCUUUUUCUUAGGAUCCGAAUAGAGAACUAUAAGGCCAAAAAAUGCCAGAUAAAAUCGUGACUUUUUCUGAUUUAAACGGAAUCGGCUCGAAUUCGAGAGUCACUCU
rnacentral:lncRNA from 1 species